ACUUUUCUACCUGGGCUUAGGGAGCAGCAUAAAGGUCUCGGGGCAAAUUGUGCCUCUCAUUCCUAGUCUACAAUGAUCUUGGGUAGUAUAGAGAAUGUCCUAAUGGGGUUCAGCAUACAGGUGAGAUUGUGACAGUGAUAUCCACACCCAACUGACAGUAAAAAUUGCCAUCUUUCCUCAUGAAUACAGCCCACUGUUGAGGUGUUGAAUCUCAUAACCAAAGGCAGUUGAAAAUUAAAACAUUGUCUCUCAUUGGUAGACCCAGUCCACAGUGGGGUUGGUGACUCUCAGACCAAAAUUCAGCACAGUUAUGAGGCCAUCACUCCACUAAGAAAACGGAAUUCACAGAACAAAUUGAGACUGUCAUGUACAAAUUCAGCCCACCACUGAGAUUGUGACUCAUUUACUUAGACCCAACAUAUAGGAAGUGUUGACUCUUAUACCUAGAAUUGGGACAUGUGUAAGAUUGUUCAUCUUUUCCUUAGACUUUCCUGCAGGAGUGAUGCUGACAUGUUCCUCUAUUUGGCAUCUGAGUGAUAUGACUCUUGCCAUGGUCUAGCCCACAGAUGGAAUUGUGAUGUGUUGCUGUACCCAGCACCUAGGUGAUGUGACUCCAUUUUUCUGCCUUGGCAUUGCUCACAAAAGUUUUUGCCCACAGGGGAGAUUGUGACAUAUCACUGGGCCUCAUACUAAGGUGAUGUUACACUUUCGUUUUUGAACUGUACUCAGAAGGCAUCGUGACAUAUUCCUGGGCCCAGCACCAAGGUGAUCUGAGUCUCCUGCCUGCACUUUGUCCACAAUUGGAUUGUAACAUAUCUUCAGACCUAUCAACUACUUGAUAUGACUUAUUUUUUUAAAGUGAAAGCAAGUUUAUUAGGGAAGUAAAUAAACAAAAGAAU
rnacentral:lncRNA from 1 species